CCUACGGGAGUCAGCAGUGGGGAAUAUUGCACAAUGGGGGAAACCCUGAUGCAGCGACGCCGCGUGAGUGAAGAAGUAAUUCGUUACGUAAAGCUCUAUCAGCAGGGAAGAAAUACUGACCUUACGGUCAGCAGACGGUACCUGCGUAAGAAGCCCCGGCUAACUACGUGCCAGCAGCCGCGGUAAUACGUAGGGGGCAAGCGUUAUCCGGAUUUACUGGGUUUAAAGGGAGCGUAGACGGUGCGCCAAGUCUGGAUUGAAAUGCCGCAGCUUAACUGCGGAACUGCGUUGGAAACGGGCGAACUAGAGUGCGGGAGGGGUAAGCGGAAUUCCUAGUGUAGCGGUGAAAUGCGUAGAUAGUAGGAGGAACACCGGUGGCGAAGGCGGCUUACUGGACCGUAACUGACGUUGAGGCUCGAAAGCGUGGGGAGCAAACAGGAUUAGAUACCCCUGUAGUC
rnacentral:rRNA from 1 species